GGGACAGUAGGUUGGUCGUGCCACCGGUACGUACUGGUCUCACUGAUUCCUCCUUCCUGAAGAACCGUAAUGCCAUUAAUUGGGUGUUGCGGGGAAACAGGACUGUUACUUUGAAAAAAUUAGAGUGUUUAAAGCAAGCUAACGCUUGAAUACAUUAGCAUGGAAUAAUGAAAUAGGACGAUCGAUCCUAUUUUGUUGGUUUCUAGGAUUGACGUA
rnacentral:rRNA from 1 species